rnacentral:lncRNA from 1 species
CCCUUCUGAGUGUGGCCCCGCCCUCCCAGCUCGUGAUUGGCCCUAAGCUGCGGGCGCCAGUUUUCAUUGGGUGAGCGGUCGCUGGGGUGGGGCCAGGUGACAGGAAAUUUCUGGUGGGCCUUCGCGGCUCCGCUGGGUUGGCAGCCGCUUGAGCCACUGCGAGGAAAGCAAAGUCUGGGCCAUGGAGAUGAGCCUAGUCCUGCUGUUCCUGAUCCGCACUGCCCUUUUUGCACCCCAGGGAGCUGCUGCUGAGGAUUGCGGCCUGUUGGCAGAAGAGUAGUGUCUUGGGCCCCAGCUGACCUGAUGAAUAUCAACAUCCAAUGCCCUGUAAUGAAGUCAUGUGUGCACAUAUCAUCACUUCUGCAUGCAGUCUCAUGGGAAGGAGGUGUGUGAUGAAGUAUUUAGUGGUCUAGUAUCAUGGGUCUUGCAACUUACUUUAGAAUGACUCAGUCAAAAAUCUUAAUCUGGACCCUUUUCAUAAGAUGGUGCCAAGAACGAAGAAGGAAGCUCCUGCCCCUCCUAAAGCCGAAGCCAAAGCGAAGGCUUUGCAAGGCCAAGAAGGCAGUGUUGAAAGAUGUCCACAGCCACAAAAAAAACAAGAUCCACAUGUCACCCACCUUCCGGCGGCCCAAGACACUGUGACUCCGGAGGCAGCCCAAAUAUCCUUGGAAGAGCACCCCCAGGAGAAAUAAGCUUGACCACCAUGUUAUCAUCAAGUUUCCGCUGACCACUGAGUAGGCUGUGAAGAAGAUAGAAAACAACAGCCUACUUGUGUUCACUGUGGAUGUUAAAGCCAACAAGCACCAGAUCAAACAGGCUGUGAAGAAGUUUGUGACAUUGAUGUGGCCAAAGUCAACACUCUGAUUCAGUCUGAUGGAGAGAGGAAGGCAUAUGUUCGACUGGCUCCUGACUACGAUGCUUUGGUUGUUGCCACCAAAAUUGGGAUCACCUAAACUGAGUCAAGCUGGCUAGUUCCAAAUAUAUGUAUAUCUUUUCACCAUUAAAAGAAUCUUAAUCUCUCUAUUCACUCUUUCUCUUCACACACACACACACA